ACCGUACGGAAUCCGUACGGAAUGCGUACGGGAAUUCCUGCCAAACCGCACGGAUUCCGUACGGAAUGUAUUCCAUAGGGUUUCUGUACGGUUUCCGUGCGGUUUAGCACUUUUACCGCGUUCUAGGGCCAGUUUGUGGCCUUCUUGGCUUUCCAUACCACAUGUCCCACAGAGCAGCCAUGACGCUUCGCUGAAUUACCCAGCUGAUGACUUCUGUAUUUACUGGGCACUUUCGUGAACUUUUGGACGUGCACUCGUGUUGUUUUGACUCCAAGAUAAACGUGGCCUCAUUAUAAAUCAACGGUCACCUGGACUCCGCGAUAGACCAUGACGAGACAUGAUGCAGCAAUCGGUCAAUGUGAAAACAAACCCGAACAAACUGGCGCUCUGGUUUGAAACUCGAGCAGAAAGAAGAAGAGCACCAGACUGUGAUCCACUCACUGGAGUCCCCGAUCACCACCACGCUCCUGUUGUGCAGCAGCUGGGCCGCGGUCUGAUGGCCGACGGACGCCAUGGCCUCAUAACUCUUUUUGGAUUGGAAAACUAAAUGUCAACAUCGAUGAAUGGGAACAUUCCCGGAUGGCUUUGAUAAGUCCCAGAAAAUAAACCUUAGGAGGUAGGCCUACGCUUCAAAAUUCAAGUUAAAGGAAGGAGAGCUCUACGUUGGGAGCAGAAGAGCCAUUAAAUCCAAAGAGCAGGCAACUCUUUAUAGAGUUUCACUCCUCUCCAAUGGGGGGACAUACGAGCAUUCCGAAAACCUGGACAGCCAUAUCCUCCAGAUUUGACUGGCUUGGCAUGUCAGUGGACAUUAACAACUGGGUAUUGGAAUGUGAUAAAUGCCAGAUGGUUGGAAAACCUUUGGAUGCUGCAUAGCCAUUACAGUGUAUACAGUGUCUGCUGUCUGGGAGCUAAUUGGUAUUGACCUGACCGGACCACUCCCAAAAACUGUGGAUGGCUUCCAGUACAUUUUAACAGCCACAGAUUACUUCUAAAAAUGGGUUGAGGCUUUCCCUUUCAAGAAAAAAAAACUGAAGCUGAAGUGGGACGCCACAUCUGUUCGAUUAUUUAUACACAUAGUUGUCCCAAAAGAAUCUUAUCUGACCAGGGAAGAGAGUUUUUUAGUGAAGUACGUGCGUUUUAAUAAUGCUAUUGUAGUAAAUACAAUUCAGGAAUUAUUCCUUUCUGCUUGGAAUGUAUUAUUUAUUUUUUUACUGUAACUGAUUUUGUUUCAGCUCAACACCAGCCUUUGCAGUAUUUUGGCUAUUCAAAGAAGUGUGACAGCUGCCUAUCAUCCCAAACCAAUGGUCUGGAUGAGAACACAUGGUUAAACAUAACUAUUUAUUACAUUUUUAUUUAGUCGUUAUUUGUUCAGUGCUACAUAAAACAUAAUGCUUUUAG